rnacentral:rRNA from 1 species
GAGCGGACCGACGGGAGCUUGCUCCCUUAGGUCAGCGGCGGACGGGUGAGUAACACGUGGGUAACCUGCCUGUAAGACUGGGAUAACUCCGGGAAACCGGGGCUAAUACCGGAUGCUUGAUUGAACCGCAUGGUUCAAUCAUAAAAGGUGGCUUUUAGCUACCACUUGCAGAUGGACCCGCGGCGCAUUAGCUAGUUGGUGAGGUAACGGCUCACCAAGGCGACGAUGCGUAGCCGACCUGAGAGGGUGAUCGGCCACACUGGGACUGAGACACGGCCCAGACUCCUACGGGAGGCAGCAGUAGGGAAUCUUCCGCAAUGGACGAAAGUCUGACGGAGCAACGCCGCGUGAGUGAUGAAGGUUUUCGGAUCGUAAAACUCUGUUGUUAGGGAAGAACAAGUACCGUUCGAAUAGGGCGGUACCUUGACGGUACCUAACCAGAAAGCCACGGCUAACUACGUGCCAGCAGCCGCGGUAAUACGUAGGUGGCAAGCGUUGUCCGGAAUUAUUGGGCGUAAAGCGCGCGCAGGCGGUUUCUUAAGUCUGAUGUGAAAGCCCCCGGCUCAACCGGGGAGGGUCAUUGGAAACUGGGGAACUUGAGUGCAGAAGAGGAGAGUGGAAUUCCACGUGUAGCGGUGAAAUGCGUAGAGAUGUGGAGGAACACCAGUGGCGAAGGCGACUCUCUGGUCUGUAACUGACGCUGAGGCGCGAAAGCGUGGGGAGCGAACAGGAUUAGAUACCCUGGUAGUCCACGCCGUAAACGAUGAGUGCUA